UCUGACACAGGUGCUGCAUGGAUGUCGUCAGCUCGUGCCGUGAGGUGUCGGGUUAAGUCCCAUAACGAGCGCAACCCCUACCCUUUAGUUGCCAUCAGGUAAUGCUGGGGACUCUAAAGGAACUGCCUACGCAAGUAGUGAGGAAGGCGGGGGAUGACGUCAAAUCAGCACGGCCCUUACGUCCAGGGCUACACACGUGCUACAAUGGCCGAUACAGAGGGCAGCUACCUGGUGACAGGAUGCAAAUCUCCAAAGUCGGUCUCAGUUCGGAUCGGAGUCUGCAACCCGACUCCGUGAAGUUGGAUUCGCUAGUAAUCGCGCAUCAGCCAUGGCGCGGUGAAUACGUUCCCGGGCCUU
rnacentral:rRNA from 1 species